AAAGUGCCUGAUUAAAGGAUUAUUCUGAUAGGAUAAAUUAAGUAGUUUUU
rnacentral:tRNA from 1 species